rnacentral:sRNA from 1 species
GUGUUUUUCAUAGUAUUAGAUAUAAGAUUAAUUAAAAAGAGAUUGUACGCAACUUGUGAAAGCUUAAGUACGUCAGAAGCAGAAGAGUCUGUUUUUAUGAUAAAUGUGUUAGAGCAUCGGUUUAUAUAUAGCCGAUGCUUUUUUUAU